rnacentral:rRNA from 1 species
GGAGUUAGCCGGUGCUUCUUCUGCGAGUAACGUCACAGAUGUAAGGUAUUAACUUACACCCUUUCCUCCUCGCUGAAAGUGCUUUACAACCCGAAGGCCUUCUUCACACACGCGGCAUGGCUGCAUCAGGGUUUCCCCCAUUGUGCAAUAUUCCCCACUGCUGCCUCCCGUAGGAGUCUGGGCCGUGUCUCAGUCCCAGUGUGGCUGAUCAUCCUCUCAGACCAGCUAGGGAUCGUCGCCUAGGUGAGCCUUUACCUCACCUACUAGCUAAUCCCACCUGGGCUUAUCCAUCAGCGCAAGGCCCGAAGGUCCCCUGCUUUCCCCCGUAGGGCGUAUGCGGUAUUAGCAGUCGUUUCCAACUGUUAUCCCCCACAAAUGGACAAAUUCCCAGGCAUUACUCACCCGUCCGCCGCUCGUCAUCUUCAAAAGCAAGCUUUUGAAAUGUUACCGCUCGACUUGCAUGUGUUAGGCCUGCCGCCAGCGUUCAAUCUGAGCCAGGAUCAAACUCUGA